GAAGGGUUUGGCCACAAGCAGGAGAAGAUACAGCUGCUGUGACUGUGAUACUGGAGACACACGUUUCCACAAUAAUUAUUGAUUCAAAUACCCUAUGCUGUGUGAAUACAACAGCUAUAAACCACGCCCCUGAAGAAGGGGACGAAAUCUGUUUGUAGCCGGCCCCAGAUUGGGCGUGGCAAUGUAUAUGAUAAGCUGUUUAGCUGAAUUUAUAUGAGAAGACUUUUGUGAUUAUAUUCCAAGCUGAAUGCAUAUGAGAAGCUGUUUGGCUGAAUUUAUAUGAGAAGACUUUGUGAAGACUCAUCUGCAUACCGUGAUAUUACUGCGAUUAAGGAAUACACAUUGAGGAAUACACACAGAUGAUAGACUCUCUGGACAUCUUUAUUGGCUAUAUAUAAACAGUUUGUAUAAUUUUCGUGCAAUUGCCUUUGAAAUUACCUUAUAAUAUCAUAUAAAAAGUAUAUUAAUUCUU